GGUAGGAUGGCCGAGAAAGGUGGCAGGUUGUAGCCCUGCCUAGGCGGGUCGAGUCCCGCUCCUACCA
rnacentral:tRNA from 1 species